rnacentral:rRNA from 1 species
GACGAACCGUCCUAACGUUGUUCGGAAUCACUGGGCUUAAAGGGCGCGUAGGCGGACCCGCCAGUCCGGGGUGAAAGCUUUCGGCUCAACCGGAAAAGUGCCUUGGAAACUGCGGGUCUGGAGGGAGGUAGGGGCAUGUGGAACUUCUGGUGGAGCGGUGAAAUGCGUUGAUAUCAGAAGGAACGCCGGUGGCGAAAGCGACGUGCUGGACCUCUACUGACGCUGAGGCGACGAAAGCCAGGGAGCGAAACGGGA